UGUGUCAGUGUGACAUCUUAGACUAUAAUGCAAUGGACGAGGCAGAAGGUAAUGAUCACAUUGAUGAAGUACAACUCUCAGUAUUUGUCAAUUGUAGAUACAGAGGAUACGAUCAGCUAUAGGGGAGUGUACAACUUGGCUUUGGUGUUCUGCUGGUUCUUCAACAUCCUUCAAACACCUGGAGUAAACUGAUCUGGAAGUGACUGCAAGCUGAAUGGACGGAUCAACCUGAUAAUUGGCGUUUCAGUUCACACCAAGAAAGCAAUAUUCAAGAUAUUGGUCAAAUUACUCAGAAAGCUCUGUCCCUCAUUCAACUCGGUGCGACACAAUAGAGACUGGGACAGAAAAUAUAAGUCUGAUUCUAUUUUGGUACGAAGAGAUUCAAUGUUGGUUACUUCUAUUGCACAUAGGGAACGUGACAAAGAAGAUAGCAUUCAGUUAAAGGCAGUGGACACUUGGAAGUCAUUGAAAAUAAUUAUUAGCAUAAAACAUUACUUGGUAACAAG